rnacentral:rRNA from 1 species
UACAGAGGUCCCAAGCGUUGUUCGGAUUCAUUGGGCGUAAAGGGUGCGUAGGUGGCGCUGUAAGUCGGGUGUGAAAUUUCGGAGCUUAACUCCGAAACUGCAUUCGAUACUGCGGUGCUUGAGGACUGGAGAGGAGACUGGAAUUUACGGUGUAGCGGUGAAAUGCGUAGAUAUCGUAAGGAAGACCAGUGGCGAAGGCGGGUCUCUGGACAGUUCCUGACGCUGAGGCACGAAGGUCAGGGGAGCAAACGGG